rnacentral:rRNA from 1 species
CCCGGGCCUUGUACACACCGCCCGUCACACCACGAGAGUUUGUAACACCCGAAGUCGGUGAGGUAACCCGUAAGGGAGCCAGCCGCCGAAGGUGGACAGAUGAUUGGGGUG